rnacentral:tRNA from 2 species
GGGCGAUUAGCUCAGCUGGUUUAGAGCGCCUGCCUUACAAGCAGGAGGUCGUUGGUUCGAAUCCAAUAUCGCCCA